UGGGGAAUAUUGGACAAUGGGGGAAACCCUGAUCCAGCAAUGCCGCGUGAGUGAAGAAGGCCUUAGGGGUGUAAAGCUCUUUCGCCCGCGAAGAUAAUGACGGUAGCGGGAGAAGAAGCCCCGGCUGACUCCGUGCCAGCAGCCGCGGUAAUACGGAGGGGGCUAGCGUUGUUCGGAAUUACUGGGCGUAAAGCGUACGUAGGCGGAUGCGCAAGUUGGGGGUGAAAUCCCGGGGCUUAACCUCGGAAUUGCCCUCAAAACUGCACGUCUUGAGACCGAGAGAGGUAAGGGGAAUGCCUAGUGUAGAUGUGAAAUUCGUAGAUAUUAGGAAGAGCACCAGUGGCGAAGGCGCCUUACUGGCUCGGUACUGACGCUGAGGUACGAAAGCGUGGGGAGCAAACA
rnacentral:rRNA from 1 species